rnacentral:rRNA from 1 species
GUCUGCGGCCAUGCCAACCUGAACAAGCCUGAUCCCAUUUGAUCUCAGAAGCUAAGCAGGGUCAGGCCUGGUUAGUACUUGGAUGGGAGUCCACCUAGGAAGUCCAGGUGCUGUUGGUG